CACUACUCCACCUGUGGAGCACGCCUGCGCAGUGACUCACAACGAAAGGCGAGAAAUGAAAUAUACGCGGUGGGACAUAUUAUAAUACAGACUCAGAUGAAAUGAAUAGUCCAGUAUUAAAUGGAAAUGAGGGAACAUAGAACAGACAAGAAUCAUCCGAUGUAAGUCUUAUACUCCGGAGGACAUCCGAAAAAGCAACAGCCAUCUUCUAUAGCAGAAGCAAUGAUAUUAGAUACAGAAGCAGCUGUUAUAGCGAAUUUUGAAUUUUUGAGACAUACAGACAUGGACAUGGAAGAGGAAGAAGGAGAUGGAGACGAUGAAAUUUAUAAUGCAAAUACAGAUACCAAACCAAAUAAAGCAUCUAUCCCUCUUCUAGCGGAAGAUGUUGAUACAGAUGCAGAGGCAGAAGUAUUAAAUGAAUUAAAUCUCCUCACAGAAAUUGAAGAAUCGCCACCUGGUUCUAUCCAUCUGGAAAUGAAUUCUCCAAAGGGGUUUAUAAAUCCCUAUUUAUUCGUGUUUAUUAUAUACAGGAUUACAACAAGAUCCAAGACGCCCAAAUAAUAAAGAAGGCGGUGACUCCACGCUGAGAUUAGGAGAAUUAGAACAAUUAAGUGUUAACAAUGAUGCAGAAAUAUCGUACGAUAUGGUUUCCACCACGAAGGAAACCUUCAGAAAAAUAUGGAACGCUAAAUAUACGUUACGUUCGCAUUUUGACGCUGUUAGAGCACUCGUCUUCCACCCCGCAGAUCCGGUUCUUAUUACCGCAAGCGAUGAUCACACUGAAGUGGAAUCUUCAUAAGACUGUACCGUAUUCUUUCAGGUCAGCUUCGUUAGAUGUAGAAACACUUUACACAUUCAGAUCAUACACUGGACCUAUAUUGUGUCUAGCCAUGUGUAGUAUGGGCAAUUGAUGUUACAGCGGUGGUUUAGAUGGCAUGAUCCAUUGUUGGACAUUACCAUCGGCUAACAUUGAUCCAUACGACUCGUACGAACCAAAUGUCCUUAGUCAUACAUUAACGGCACACAAAUGCUGUCUGGGGCUUGAGCAUGUUUUAUGUAUAUGAAACAUACAUUUUUCGGUUAAUCCAUUAUUUAUGA